rnacentral:lncRNA from 1 species
CCCGCUUCGAGCCCCCGGGCGGCGGCACCGCAUCCCGGGGCCCCGCAGAAAAUGAAGACUCAGCCCAAAAGACAGAGCCUGCAGAUCAGCUAGUUGAUUCUUUGGAGUCCAGUACUUCGCAGAGCGGGUCACAGAUUGGGUCACACCUGAGUGCAGGCACGACAGAGGAUUCGAAGGAAGAAGCUGACACUUUGGAGGACCAGGAAGUGGCUGAACUAGAAGAGAAGCUGCCUGACAAAAUCCAUUCCCUCAAAAAGGAAGCUGGUGUUUGGGUAACCAACUACCAUGUACCUC